rnacentral:rRNA from 1 species
GGGUUGUGAGGUUAAGCGACUAAGCGUACACGGUGGAUGCCCUGGCAGUCAGAGGCGAUGAAGGACGUGCUAAUCUGCGAUAAGCGUCGGUGAGGUGAUAUGAACCGUUAUAACCGGCGAUUUCCGAAUGGGGAAACCCAGUGUGUUUCGACACACUAUCAUUAACUGAAUCCAUAGGUUAAUGAGGCGAACCGGGGGAACUGAAACAUCUAAGU